CGCGUAGGUGGUUUGUUAAGCGAGAUGUGAAAGCCCCGGGCUUAACCUGGGAACGGCAUUUCGAACUGGCAGGCUAGAGUGUGGUAGAGGGUAGUGGAAUUUCCUGUGUAGCGGUGAAAUGCGUAGAUAUAGGAAGGAACACCAGUGGCGAAGGCGGCUACCUGGACCAACACUGGCACUGAGGUGCGAAAGCGUGGGGAGCAAACA
rnacentral:rRNA from 1 species